rnacentral:lncRNA from 1 species
GAUUGGGUUAUAGAUCCCCACCCCAACCCUGAGUCACACACUUUGCAGCGCGGGAUACCCGGGCUGUGUCUGGAAGAGACAGAGUCCCUCGAGUUGCCACUCUGAGUCAGAGGGAGAACAGAAAUCGAGAAGAAAAGGGCAGAGCCUGGGAGCGAGAUCUAAGACUGUACAUGAACCUCAAGUUCUGACUGAUACAGACUGGCCCUGGUCUGUCACUCGCUGGGCUUGGGCCUCUGACUUGGACACUUGGACUUCCGAACCCUUAGGCCUUGGCUGUUGGGCUCUGAUUUUAGAGAGAAGGGCGGAGAGUUGGGAGAUAAAAAAAACUUCCUUCCUUGUGAAAAAAAAAAAAAAAUAAGUAAAACAGAUAAAGCCAAAAGCCAAAACAGUACAAGUGUAGUAAGUUUAAAAAUGUAAGUUUUGCUGAACUUUAGAGAUUCUACAAGCAUUCAGUAAUAAGAUAGAAAUGCUCAAAUGAGAAAAUCUCAUGUAACUGUCAUAUCUAACUGAACAUGGUAGGAAGUAUUAGAAGGAAUAAUGCAAUUGAUAGUCUCAGAGUCAUUAGUUGGAUUUUCUAGGCAUUGGUAGCUUGGAAGGUUUCUGGAAACCCCUGGUCCUUAGUUAAUGGUAAAGGUUUGGAAAUGUGUGGUUGUGGCUUCUUUAUGUCUUAAGUUGUCCGUAUUUUGGGGGAUUUAAUAUGUUUAAUCUGCAAUAAAAUAUAUAGCACUUUC